AAUCCAUGGUGUGGACAAUCUCUCUGAUAGUCUAUGAAUCUUUCCCAAGCAUCAUAGAGGUCUUCUGUGUCUUCCUGCUGAACUUUUUGUAUCUCGUUCCUUAAAAGAUU